rnacentral:rRNA from 1 species
CCUACGGGCGGCUGCAGUGAGGAAUAUUGGUCAAUGGACGAGAGUCUGAACCAGCCAAGUAGCGUGAAGGAUGACUGCCCUAUGGGUUGUAAACUUCUUUUAUAAAGGAAUAAAACGAGGCACGUGUGCCUUUUUGCAUGUACUUUAUGAAUAAGGAUCGGCUAACUCCGUGCCAGCAGCCGCGGUAAUACGGAGGAUCCGAGCGUUAUCCGGAUUUAGUGGGUUUAAAGGGAGCGUAGAUGGGUUGGUAAGUCAGUUGUGAAAGUUUGCGGCUCAACCGUAAAAUUGCAAUUGAUUAUGGCAGUCUUGAGUACAGUGGAGGUAAGCGGAAUUCGUGGUGUAGCGGUGAAAUGCUUAGAUAUCACGAAGAACCCCGAUUGCGAAGGCAGCUUACUAAACUGGGACUGACAUUGAUGCUCGAAAGUGUGGGUAUCAAACAGGAUUAGAUACCCCUGUAGUC